rnacentral:rRNA from 1 species
GAUGAACGCUGGCGGCGUGCCUAAUACAUGCAAGUCGAGCGAACGGACGAGAAGCUUGCUUCUCUGAUGUUAGCGGCGGACGGGUGAGUAACACGUGGAUAACCUACCUAUAAGACUGGGAUAACUUCGGGAAACCGGAGCUAAUACCGGAUAAUAUUUUGAACCGCAUGGUUCAAAAGUGAAAGACGGUCUUGCUGUCACUUAUAGAUGGAUCCGCGCUGCAUUAGCUAGUUGGUAAGGUAACGGCUUACCAAGGCAACGAUGCAUAGCCGACCUGAGAGGGUGAUCGGCCACACUGGAACGGAGACACGGUCCAGACUCCUACGGGGGGCAGCAGUAGGGAAUCUUGCGCAAUGGGCGAAAGCCGGACGGGGCAACGCCGCGUGAGUGAUGAAGGUCUUCGGAUCGUAAAACUCUGUUAUUAGGGAAGAACAUAUGUGUAAGGAACUGUGCACAUCUUGACGGUACCUAAUCAGAAAGCCACGGCUAACUACGUG